rnacentral:lncRNA from 1 species
UUACAGGUGUGAGCCACCGUGCCCGGCCGGCAUCCUAUAUUUUUAUAUUCUAACUCUGGCAACCUUAAAUAUAAGUGACAAAUGAAACUAAAAAUAAUGGGCAAAGGUCUAAACACAUCAGUGAUCAUAAAAAGGAAUUGAGAACAUUGCCAGAACACUGUCCUGCCUUAAACACUUGGCCUCGUGGGAAGGGAAAGACCUGACCGUCCCCCAGCCCGACACCCGUAAAGGGUCUGUGCUGAGGAGGAUUAGUAUAAGAGGAAGGCAUGCCUCUUGCAGUUGAGACAAGAGGAAGGCAUCUGUCUCCUGCCCGUCCCUGGGCAAUGGAAUGUCUCGGUAUAAAACCCGAUUGUACGUUCCAUCUACUGAGAUAGGGAAAAACCGCCUUAGGGCUGGAGGUGGGACAUGCGGGCAGCAAUACCACUUUGUAAAGCAUUGAGAUGUUUAUGUGUAUGCAUAUCUAAAAGCACAGCACUUAAUCCUUUACCUUGUCUAUGAUGCAAAGACCUUUGUUCACGUGUUUGUCUGCUGACCCUCUCCCCACAAUUGUCUUGUGACCCUGACACAUCCCUCUCUCGGAGAAACACCCACGAAUGAUCAAUAAAUACUAAGGGAACUCAGAGGCUGGCGGGAUCCUCCAUAUGCUGAACGCUGGUUCCCCGGGUCCCCUUAUUUCUCUAUACUUUGUCUCUGUGUCUUUUUCUUUUCCAAGUCUCUCGUUCCACCUUACGAGAAACACCCACAAGUGUGGAGGGGCAACCCACCCCUUCAGUUUUGUUUUUGCUUUUUUUGAGACUGAGUUCUGCUCUUGUUGCCCAGGCUGGAGUGCAGUGGUGCGAUCUCGGCUUAUUGCAACCUCCACCUCCCGGGUUCAAGCGAUUCUCCUACCUCGGCCACCCGAGUAGCUGGGAUUACAGGCAUGCGCCACCAUGCCCAGCUAAUUUUGUAUUUUUAGUAGAGACAGGGUUUUACCAUGUUGGUCAGGCUGGUCUCGAACUCCUGACCUCAGGUGAUCCGCCCACCCUGGCCUUCCAAAGUGCUGGGAUUACAGGCAUGAGUCACCACGCCCAGCCUUUGCCUCAGCUUCUUGAGUAGCUGAAACUACAGGCACACAUCACCAUGCCCAGCUAAUAUUUUGUAGAGAUGGUGUUUCACCAUGUUGCCUAGGCUGAUCUUCAAUCCUGAGCUCAAAUGAUCCUCCCACCUUGGCCUCUCAAAGCGUUAGGAUUAUAGGUGUGAGCCACUGUGCCCAGCAUAUUAACACACAUUUGUUUUUGUUGUUGUGUGUGUUUUUUUUUUUUGAGAUCGAGUUUCGCUCUUGUCCCCUAAACUGGCGUGCAAUGGUGCAAUCUUGACUCCCUGCAGCCUCCGCCUCCCAGGUUCAAGUAACUCUCCUGCCUCAGCCUCCCAAGUAGCUGGGAUUACAGGUGCCUUCCAUCAUGUCCAGCUAAUUAUUAUAUUUUUAGUAGAGACGGAGUUUCACCAUGUUGGCCAGACUGGUCUCAAACUUCUGACCUCAGGUGAUCCACCUUUCUUGUGGAAGCUAUAGUGAGCCAUGAUCACACCACUGCCCCCUAGCCUGGAUGACAGGGCCUGACCCUGUCACAAAACAAACAAAGAAAAGAAAAAAGAAAAUCAAGC